rnacentral:lncRNA from 1 species
AAUUACCCAAAACCCUUUUAAAACCAACUCAAAACCCUUUCAAAACUAGCCUAAACCCAUCCCAUCCCAACACACAACAACAUAAGCCCAACAGCUUCAGCCGACUGGUCCAGCCCACCUACUCCUCUUUUCUUCACCUUGAGAACAUCGACGUUCAAAAACGCAGCAGCAAUACACAGCAACAAAAAUAAUGCAUACAAACAAAACAACUUUAACAACUCCUACCAUCUCAGCCAGCAAAAAAUCGACAACAAUCCUAACUCGAUUCCAUUAGCCUUUGACCCAAACCAGUAACAACGACGAAAACAACGGCAAAACCCAACCCAACUCGCAGAUAACCAUGUCCAGCUCACCCUUGUAUGAAUUCAAACAGCUUAUCCAAAUUCUUACUAAAACUAGUACAAUGCGUGGCUUCAAUUGCCUUAAUCUCCAAGAAUGUUGUUUGAAUUUCAAAAUUAAAAUCAAAUCCCUCCAAAAAAAAAAAAACCCCAUGGAAAUUAGUGGAAUAGUUCAAGAAUUUCCACUUGCAUCUUUUUCAUUCGUCUCCAGUACGAGACCCUCAUCUCCCACCAUCCAUUUGUUGAGAUUGAUUUAUAGCAAUGGGAUUUGAAUUUUUACCUAAAAUCCCACAUCGAUGGAAGUGGACUCCUAAUUUUGUCUUCUACAUAAGCCAUUUAUUGAGCUGAAAAUUCUAAGCCUCAAGAGAGUGAAAAGCUUUUUUUGAGAGAAUAAGUAGAAAUUUUUCUUUAGUAAAAGUUUUAGAAAAAACCAUCGACAAAUCGAUAUUCUUGAAGUUUCGAAGCUUUUCGAUGGUGGUCGAAACACUGUCGAAGGCUCAAAUCCAAUUUUUCUACUUUGAAACGGGUAAUACUUUGUUCCAUUUAGUUUUGAUUUUAUUUCUUCUUCAUCUCAUCGUUCUAUCGUCACAGUAGUGUUGUAUGCUGGGAUUUUUCACUGUAGGAGGCUUUGAAAACCCUAGGUUUCGUGAUACAGGUGUUGAUGUUUCUUGUUGUGUCAACUUCAUAGUCUAGUAUAUUUCUUUCUCAAAAGUUAUUUACGGUCGUUUGAUAAUGGUAAACCUUCAUCCUUGAACGUUGGUGUAGUUUUGUUAAUGCUUUCCUGUUAAUCCGAUGAUUGCUUGAUUUGUUUUGUUUUAUCUACUAUUUUAGCCUAAUGUUGUUCCUAUUUAAAAUAACAUACCUUUAUGUUAGUGUAAAUUUUAUUUUUUGUAAAGCUCGAAUUUCUUUUUAUCUUAGAAUUUAUGAUUUCAUUAAUUUAGUGUCUUAUUUUGAAUUGUUACUCGCUUUAAAUCACUAUUUUUAAGGUAUUAUCAUGGUUAUUUCCUUUAGUAUUUAUGGAUUCAUGUUUCUUAAUUAACUUAUCCCCUUAAAAUUCGAAGCUUGAAUGUUGGCAUCUGACAAAGUGUUUUCCUUCUGGAUGAAUAUUUUCUAUUGUAGCUCCUUUCUCACUUAACGGUUUUUGAUCGAAUUUCCUCUUUCUUUAGUUUUCUUUUGGUCUAUUGUUUUUAGCCUAAGGUUCCCAAGAUUUAGUUUUUCAAGCCUUGGUUUAAACUCAAAAAUUAUAUACGAAUCUCAAGUCAUAAUUUUAGCCUAGGGAACUAAAUCAUCGCUUUGGUUUGGACUUGGUGUUUGUAUUAAUUUCAUUAUGAGAUGUUUGUCUUGAUUUCAUGGAUGUGGUGUCGCUACUCUAAUUUUUUUUUUUUGUGAUAUUUUUAUUUGUUUUUAGUUUUUUUAGUGGCC